CUGCUGCCUUCCGUAGGAGUCUGGUCCGUGUCUCAGUACCAGUGUGGGGGACCUUCCUCUCAGAACCCCUACGCAUCGUCGCCUUGGUGGGCCGUUACCCCGCCAACAAGCUAAUGCGACGCAUGACCAUCCGUAGCCGGAAUCGCUUCCUUUAAACCCACAGAGAUGCCUCCAUGGGUUGUUACGCGGUAUUAGACGGAAUUUCUUCCGCUUAUCCCCCUGCUACGGGCAGGUUUCAUACGUGUUACUCACCCGUGCGCCGGUCGCCGGG
rnacentral:rRNA from 1 species